rnacentral:rRNA from 1 species
UACGGAGGGGGCUAGCGUUGUUCGGAAUUACUGGGCGUAAAGCGCACGUAGGCGGCUUUGUAAGUUAGAGGUGAAAGCCCAGGGCUCAACCCCGGAAUUGCCUUUAAGACUGCAUCGCUUGAAUUGUGGAGAGGUAAGUGGAAUUCCGAGUGUAGAGGUGAAAUUCGUAGAUAUUCGGAAGAACACCAGUGGCGAAGGCGACUUACUGGACACAUAUUGACGCUGAGGUGCGAAAGCGUGGGGAGCAAACAGG